UCUGUUUCCAGGGGCAUGGCCAUAUCUGUCCUGUGUCCCCUUCACGGGCCACCAGAUUAGCGUAGGCUGACAGCUCUCCAGGGUAGCCUUCCCUCCCACUGGGGUACAGCGUCAUUUGGAAGGUGGUCUCAGAAAGGUUGAUGUCAUCCAGAGACAGUCCCCCAGCUGCGGGUCCAGAGCCUACUUUGGUGCCUUCAAAGACGACGCGGAAUUUGGUUUUGGCGUCUAGACUCACGUGGUGCAGCUGCCACAGCUCCUGAGGGGAUCCUGUAACAAGACAUACUAUGCUCCUCUGUCUGUUCUGGCCCUGGGCCGCUGCUCUCCUCCUCUGUUGUUUUCUGGAUUGUACUCAGCUGCAUGCCUUCGUCCACCCGGCCUCCGUUGACUCGUCCCACCUGCCGUCUCUGGAGCUGAAGCUGGAUUGGAACAGACCAAAGUACAGUUCAAUCACGAUGCCAGCUGCCUCUCAAAAGGCUCCUUCACCUGGCAGCACUUCUUCUGAGGGGAAGCUGAGCUUCAGCAGAACUUUGGAGAUGUGUUCCAGUGGUUGGUGGAUGUGUGGGGAGAUAGAGAGGGACCUUUGAAUUGUUCAGAAAGGAAAACACGGAACCCAUUGGUAGUUUUAGUUUAGGGUGCUACUGCGGUGUGAUUUUGGGGUUUUAAGAGGUGAACAGGAAGAGUUUUUUUUCGUACUGAUGAUCUUUUACUUUGUUCCUGGUUGGAAUGUCCAUCAAUGUCAACGUGAAGUUCACUUUUAAUUCUGUUGAUUUAUUUUUAUUUUACUAACACCCGUUUGCUUUUAACUGCCUCACAUGUUGUGUUGUUGUAAACUUACUCUUUCAAAUAUACACUCGUCUAACCCUCUGGAAACCAGUGUUUAGACUGUUUUUGUGUUGCUCCUCACCUACUUCAGACAGCCAGGACACAACAACGUUUUG